rnacentral:rRNA from 1 species
UACGUAGGGUGCAAGCGUUGUCCGGAAUUAUUGGGCGUAAAGAGCUCGUAGGCGGUUUGUCGCGUCGAAUGUGAAAACCCGGGGCUCAACCCCGGGCCUGCAUUCGAUACGGGCAGACUAGAGUUCGGUAGGGGAGUCUGGAAUUCCUGGUGUAGCGGUGAAAUGCGCAGAUAUCAGGAGGAACACCGGUGGCGAAGGCGGAACUCUGGGCCGAUACUGACGCUGAGGAGCGAAAGCGUGGGGAGCAAACAGG